AGUUGGAAUGCUAAGAGUGUGACUUUCUUCUUGAAUUUCCUUUAGACCCUGGGAGAAAGAACUUGGCAGGGGGCCUACAAAACCCUUCAGCUUUUGAGGGAACAUCCACUUUGGAUUAAGACUGAGGAGGCCUGGAAUGAGGAAAGAGGGAGGCGAAGGCUUUGCUAAGAGGCCCUGAAGUCCUGGAUCUGGGGGAAGCUGCCUGGAUCUGGGUGGUUGGUGUCAGCUUUGGUGUCUGAGGAAGAUUCAUGGGGUCCCUGCUCGGGGGAGAGUGCAGGCUGACAAAUCAGGUCACUGAAUAAGGAUGUUGUUUGCGAAGGAUGAGAGCUCGUUCUUCUUCAGCACCGGACACAUGCCAGAUUCAGAAACUUCUUGGGAGACGUGCAGCCACAGCGGAGGGUGAGGAAUACAGCAACUUGGCUCAUUCUGGCUCCUCUACGCCACUCGCUGGAGCAGAACUCAAUUUCACAAUUGCUGAAAGCCCCCAAAUCAAAUGUCUCCACUGCCUCCAUGCCAGCAAAGGAAAGCCCCAGUGGGUAACUGCCAUCCCUGGGAAGAUAUAAAGUUUCAUGACAUCCCCAGACUCCCUCCCCUGGCAACAUCCUCAACCCCUGGCAACUGCAGAGCUGGUUUUGGAGCAGAGACUUUCCAAGCAAAGGAUACAG